rnacentral:rRNA from 1 species
AGAGUUUGAUCCUGGCUCAGGAUGAACGCUGGCGGCGUGCUUAACACAUGCAAGUCGAACGGAGUACCCUUGAAGGAGUUUUCGGACAACUGAAAGGACUACUUAGUGGCGGACGGGUGAGUAACGCGUGAGUAACCUGCCUUGGAUGGGGAAUAACAGUUGGAAACAGCUGCUAAUACCGCAUAAUAUGUCUGUGUCGCAUGGCACUGGACAUCAAAGAUUUAUCGCUCUGAGAUGGACUCGCGUCUGAUUAGCUGGUUGGCGGGGUAACGGCCCACCAAGGCGACGAUCAGUAGCCGGACUGAGAGGUUGGCCGGCCACAUUGGGACUGAGACACGGCCCAGACUCCUACGGGAGGCAGCAGUGGGGAAUAUUGGGCAAUGGGCGCAAGCCUGACCCAGCAACGCCGCGUGAAGGAAGAAGGCUUUCGGGUUGUAAACUUCUUUUCUCAGGGACGAAGAAAGUGACGGUACCUAAGGAAUAAGCCACGGCUAACUACGUG